AAACAGCCGGUGUAAAGGAGCUGCGGCCAGCAGCACCACUCUCACCUGGGACAGAUCACAUCAGUUUGUUUAUGAAGGUUGCAGCCGAGUCAAAUAUGACAAACACGAUGAGGUGCACGAAUGGCAGUGUGACCGCCUUGGGCCAGCCAUGGUUUGUUCUGCAGGGUCGUUCUCACAACCUCCCCCUGCCACGGCUGCUCCUCUGGGGGAAACAU